GGGAAGUACGGGGCAGUAGUCGCGGUAAUACGGAGGGUGCAAGCGGUAAUCGGAAUUACUGGGCGGAAAGGGUGCGCAGGCUGUUCUGUAAGGCAGAUGUGAAAUCCCCGGGCUUAACCUGGGAAUUGCGUUUGAAACUGCAGAUCUAGAGUGCGGCAGAGGGAGGUGGAAUUCCAUGUGUAGCAGUGAAAUGCGUAGAGAUAUGGAAGAACAUCGAUGGCGAAGGCAACCUCCUGGGCUAGCACUGACGCUCAUGCACGAAAGCGUGGGGAGCAAACAGGAUUAGAUACCCUUGUAGUC
rnacentral:rRNA from 1 species